AAAAGUGUAAUUCGAGAGCCAUAUUAACUUGAGAAAGGUUAUACCAUGCCUGUGCCACCGUCCAUACGUUUGCUGCUUCCUUCAAUCAUUGGCUACAAGAAUAGAAGCUUCAAAUUUAUUAGCCUGGGAUUGGAAAGGUCUCCGAGGAUCUAGUAACAAGUAAGACUGGAUGAUCUCAUGAUGUCUUGCAUUAAAAUUUGAACAAUAAAGGAUGAUGUUGCCUACAUGAUGUGCUGCACUGCGUG